GCAAGUCGAGGGGCAUCACGAGGUAGCAAUACUUUGGUGGCGACCGGCGCACGGGUGCGUAACGCGUAUGUAACCUACCUAUAACAGGGGCAUAACACUGAGAAAUUGGUACUAAUUCCCCAUAAUAUUCGGAGAGGCAUCUCUCCGGGUUGAAAACUCCGGUGGUUAUAGAUGGACAUGCGUUGUAUUAGCUAGUUGGUGAGGUAACGGCUCACCAAGGCAACGAUACAUAGGGGGACUGAGAGGUUAACCCCCCACACUGGUACUGAGACACGGACCAGACUCCUACGGGAGGCAGCAGUGAGGAAUAUUGGUCAAUGGACGCAAGUCUGAACCAGCCAUGCCGCGUGCAGGAAGACGGCUCUAUGAGUUGUAAACUGCUUUUGUACGAGGGUAAACUCACCUACGUGUAGGUGACUGAAAGUAUCGUACGAAUAAGGAUCGGCUAACUCCGUGCCAGCAGCCGCGGUAAUACGGAGGAUUCAAGCGUUAUCCGGAUUUAUUGGGUUUAAAGGGUGCGUAGGCGGUUUGAUAAGUUAGAGGUGAAAUCCCGGGGCUUAACUCCGGAACUGCCUCUAAUACUGUUAGACUAGAGAGUAGUUGCGGUAGGCGGAAUGUAUGGUGUAGCGGUGAAAUGCUUAGAGAUCAUACAGAACACCGAUUGCGAAGGCAGCUUACCAAACUAUAUCUGAC
rnacentral:rRNA from 1 species